UAUUGGACAAUGGGGGCAACCCUGAUCCAGCAAUGCCGCGUGAGUGAUGAAGGCCUUCGGGUUGUAAAGCUCUUUUGUUAGGGACGAUGAUGACGGUACCUAACGAAUAAGCCCCGGCUAACUUCGUGCCAGCAGCCGCGGUAAUACGAAGGGGGCUAGCGUUGUUCGGAAUGACUGGGCGUAAAGGGCGCGUAGGCGGCUUAAUAAGUUUGGUGUGAAAUCCCUGGGCUCAACCUAGGAAUUGCAUUGAAAACUGUUAAGCUAGAGACUAAGAGAGGGAAAUGGAAUUGCGUGUGUAGAGGUGAAAUUCGUAGAUAUACGCAAGAACACCAGUGGCGAAGGCGAUUUCCGGCUUAGAACUGACGUAAGGCGCGAAA
rnacentral:rRNA from 1 species